rnacentral:lncRNA from 1 species
GUGGAAUGAGCUCCUUGGGAACUUGGCUGUGGGAAUAUUGCAUCAGAUAGAGCUUAUCUGAUCCCGUCCCCAAGGGGGGAGCUGAAGAUGCUGCCAAGCUAAGAGGGGUGGGGCCCAGAGAAAAGAGGUGCAGCCUGGGAAUCGGCCUCUGUGGUUUCUUGGGCUACCGCCGCAGCCCAGGGUGGUCACGUUGUUACGGGCCUCGCAGGUGAGAAAGCCAAGGUAAGGCCUGCAGCAGCCCCCCCCCCGGCCUCACCGCAGCUAAGAAGCAGGACUCGAACUAGGGCCACUCCCAGAGGCUCACGGGGUUCAUUGAAGGGACCACACACCCUUCCCUGGCCUCCAGGACCGCGGAGGUCUGGAUGGUGGCCCUUCCAACCGUGUCCCACUGUCCCUUCACUCACUGUGUCCCCGCCCCGGCCUUCCUUCCACUCCUCCAUCACCCUUCCUGCCUCAGGGCCACCGGGUGUGCUGUUCCUUCUGCCUGGGUCAGCUUCCCUUCACACCCUCUGGUCUCCCUUUAAAGGCCACUCCCCAAGGGCAAGAAGUGGCAAACGCUUCCCCCGCUCCUGUGCUCCCAGGUCCCCGUGAGCCCCCAGUUCUGUCUCUUGACAUUUACUUUUCCAGAUGACUUCACCUUCCUGAUCUCCCCCCUGACCAGUGCCCGCUUCCUGCGCCCGCGCUCACCGGGGUACCAGCCCCUCUGCCUGGCACACAGCCAGCUCGCCAAGCCCUGGGUGAAUGGAGAGUGAGCCUCCGGCUCCCCGCAGGCCCCGGCUCCAGGCGGGUGCCCAGAGGCCUGCCCAGAGGCUCAGCAGGGAGCCGAGUCAGAGCAACAAGACGGUGAGCGCACCGCACAAAGUUUUUUUGAGAGGAAACUCACAGAUGCAGCGCGAUUAAAAAUUGAUAUUUCAAUGAGAUAAUCCCUCUCCCAGGCUUUUAAUUGAUUGUCUAAAA